UAGGGAAUCUUCGGCAAUGGGGGGAACCCUGACCGAGCAACGCCGCGUGAGUGAAGAAGGUUUUCGGAUCGUAAAGCUCUGUUGUUAAGGAAGAACGAGUGUGAGAAUGGAAAGUUCAUACUGUGACGGUACUUAACCAGAAAGGGACGGCUAACUACGUGCCAGCAGCCGCGGUAAUACGUAGGUCCCGAGCGUUGUCCGGAUUUAUUGGGCGUAAAGCGAGCGCAGGCGGUUAGAUAAGUCUGAAGUUAAAGGCAGUGGCUCAACCAUUGUAGGCUUUGGAAACUGUUUAACUUGAGUGCAGAAGGGGGGAGUGGAAUUCCAUGUGGAGCGGUGAAAUGCGUAGAUAUAUGGAGGAACACCGGUGGCGAAAGCGGCUCUCUGGUCUGUAACUGACGCUGAGGCUCGAAAGCGUGGGGAGCGAACAGG
rnacentral:rRNA from 1 species